CGCGAAUCGCCCUUCGGGGUGCAGCAGGCGCGAAAACUUUACAAUGCCGGCAACGGCGAUAAGGGAACCUCGAGUGCCAGGUUACAAAUCUGGCUGUCGUGAUGCCUAAAAAGCAUUGCAUAGCAAGGGCCGGGCAAGACCGGUGCCAGCCGCCGCGGUAACGCCGGCGGCUCGAGUGGUAACCGUUAUUAUUGGGUCUAAAGGGUCUGUAGCCGGCCGGGUAAGUCUCUUGGGAAAUCUGGCAGCUUAACUGUCAGGCUUUCAGGAGAUACUGCCUGGCUCGAGGCCGGGAGAGGUGAGAGGUACUUCAGGGGUAGGGGUGAAAUCUUGUAAUCCUUGAAGGACCACCAGUGGCGAAGGCGUCUCACCAGAACGGACCUGACGGCAAGGGACGAAAGCUAGGGGCACGAACCGGAUUAGAUACCCGGGUAGUCCUAGCCGUAAACGAUACUCGCUAGGUGUCGGCCACGGUGCGACCGUGGUCGGUGCCGUAGGGAAGCCGUGAAGCGAGCCACCUGGGAAGUACGGCCGCAAGGCUGAAACUUAAAGGAAUUGGCGGGGGAGCAC
rnacentral:rRNA from 1 species